rnacentral:lncRNA from 1 species
UUGCUUUUUGAGAAGCCCUUUGAACAUUCCUUUAUGAGAUACCUGCAUAUCACUUGACCAAAGAAAACAUAGAACUCAUUAAACAGAACAAUUGUGUGAAACCCAUGAAAUUCAAAGCCAAGAAAAAUAAUACCUGUGUGCUCUGCUUCAUCGAUCUUUGUCGUCCCUGGGUUUGUAAAUCUGAACAAACAAUAACAUUAAAAAAAAAUCAGAAUAUGAAAUGAAAUCAUGAAAUAAGGAAGGGUGACAAAGCUGAAGAAGCAUAUCCCAACCAUUAAAUUUGAGAAAGAAGAAUAGCAGAGGGAGAGAGAGAGUCCGAAAAAAGAGAGAAGUAGGAUUCAAAAUUUGAAUUGAGUUCUGGAAGAGGGGGAAAUGAGCUGUGUUUUCUUUCAAAGUGUGAUGUGAACAGAGAUGAAGAGAGGGAUAUUUAUUUGUUUGAGAAAUAAUGAAAGCCAAAGUGUUUGCUAAAAAAAGUAUCCAAACCUGUUACAAAGCUGAGAAAGAAAGCGACUGUUCAAGAUGAUUGUGCAGCAGCAAUUUUG